UACGUAGGUGGCGAGCGUUGUCCGGAAUUACUGGGUGUAAAAGCGCGUGUAGGCGGCAGCCAAGUCGGUGGUGAAAGCGCCCGGCUCAACUGGGCGAGUCCAUGGAACUGGUCAGCUGGAGGACGGUAGAGGCGAGUGGAAUUCCCGGUGUAGUGGUGAAAUGCGUAGAGAUCGGGAGGAACACUGUGGCGAAGGCGGCUCGCUGGGCCGGUCUGACGCUGAACGCGAAGGCGUGGGGAGCGAACGGG
rnacentral:rRNA from 1 species